UCCGUCAAUUCCUUUCGGGUCAUCGAGACAUCAUAAUAGUUUCAAAAUUUAGGUUCAUAUAUCAUAUAUGAGUGACAAUUCGUAGUAUAGAAUGGCACUCAAGAUCAUAAAAUCAAUGAGGCAUCCCAACACUAGAAACAUAUGGGACAAAAAAUAUCCGCAAUUCCUUUCGGGUCAUCGAGGCAUCAUAAUAGUUACAAAAUUUAGGCUCAUAUAUCAUAUAUGAGUGACAAUUCGUAGUAUAGAAUGGCACUCAAGAUCAUAAGAUCAGAGGCAUACCAACACUUGCAACAUAUGGGACAAAUAAUAUCCAUCAAUUCCUUUCGGGUCAUCGAAGCAUCAUAAUAAUUUCAAAAUUUAGGCUCAUAUAUCAUAUAUGAGUCAAUUCAUAUAAUAGUCAAUUCAUAUAAUACAAUUGCACUCAAGAUCAUAAAAUCAUUAAGGCAUCCCAACACUUGCAACAUAUGGAACAAAUAAUAUCCGUCAAUUCCUUUCGGGUCAUCGAGGCAUCAUAAUAGUUUCAAAAUUUAGGCUUAUAUAUCAUAUAUGAGUGACAAUUCAUAGUAUAGAAUUGCACUCAAGAUCAUAAAAUCAAUGAGGCAUCCCA
rnacentral:lncRNA from 1 species